GGUCUUUUUAACCAGGUUUUCCGAAGGAAAAAACUGGUUAUUAGAUUGGCGAAUGCGGGCGGCUGGCUGGCUGGCGGGCGGGCGGAACAAGCUUGUCCGGGCCAUAACUAUGUCGUUCAUUGUCAGAUUUUAAAAUCAUUUGGCACAUUUGUUCACCAUCAUUGGACGGUGUGUCGCGCGAAAUAAUUACGUCGAUAUCUCCAAGGUCAAGGUCACACUUUGAGUUCAAAGGUCAAAAAUGGCCAUAAAUGAGCUAGUCCUGGCCAUAACUAUGUCAUUCAUUGUGAGAUUUUAAAAUCAUUUGGCACAUUUGUUCACCAUCAUGGGACGGUGUGUCGCACGAAAGAAUCACGUCAAUAUCUCAAAUGUCAAGGUCGCCACGACUAAAAAUAGAUUU